rnacentral:rRNA from 1 species
GGGUUGUGAGGUUAAGCGACUAAGCGUACACGGUGGAUGCCCUGGCAGUCAGAGGCGAUGAAGGACGUGCUAAUCUGCGAUAAGCGUCGGUAAGGUGAUAUGAACCGUUAUAACCGGCGAUUUCCGAAUGGGGAAACCCAGUGUGUUUCGACACACUAUCAUUAACUGAAUCCAUAGGUUAAUGAGGCGAACCGGGGGAACUGAAACAUCUAAGUACCCCGAGGAAAAGAAAUCAACCGAGAUUCCCCCAGUAGCGGCGAGCGAACGGGGAGCAGCCCAGAGCCUGAAUCAGUGUGUGUGUUAGUGGAAGCGUCUGGAAAGGCGCGCGAUACAGGGUGACAGCCCCGUACACAAAAAUGCACAUACUGUGAGCUCGAUGAGUAGGGCGGGACACGUGGUAUCCUGUCUGAAUAUGGGGGGACCAUCCUCCAAGGCUAAAUACUCCUGACUGACCGAUAGUGAACCAGUACCGUGAGGGAAAGGCGAAAAGAACCCCGGCGAGGGGAGUGAAAAAGAACCUGAAACCGUGUACGUACAAGCAGUGGGAGCACGCUUAGGCGUGUGACUGCGUACCUUUUGUAUAAUGGGUCAGCGACUUAUAUUCUGUAGCAAGGUUAACCGAAUAGGGGAGCCGAAGGGAAACCGAGUCUUAACUGGGCGUUAAGUUGCAGGGUAUAGACCCGAAACCCGGUGAUCUAGCCAUGGGCAGGUUGAAGGUUGGGUAACACUAACUGGAGGACCGAACCGACUAAUGUUGAAAAAUUAGCGGAUGACUUGUGGCUGGGGGUGAAAGGCCAAUCAAACCGGGAGAUAGCUGGUUCUCCCCGAAAGCUAUUUAGGUAGCGCCUCGUGAAUUCAUCUCCGGGGGUAGAGCACUGUUUCGGCAAGGGGGUCAUCCCGACUUACCAACCCGAUGCAAACUGCGAAUACCGGAGAAUGUUAUCACGGGAGACACACGGCGGGUGCUAACGUCCGUCGUGAAGAGGGAAACAACCCAGACCGCCAGCUAAGGUCCCAAAGUCAUGGUUAAGUGGGAAACGAUGUGGGAAGGCCCAGACAGCCAGGAUGUUGGCUUAGAAGCAGCCAUCAUUUAAAGAAAGCGUAAUAGCUCACUGGUCGAGUCGGCCUGCGCGGAAGAUGUAACGGGGCUAAACCAUGCACCGAAGCUGCGGCAGCGACGCUUAUGCGUUGUUGGGUAGGGGAGCGUUCUGUAAGCCUGCGAAGGUGUGCUGUGAGGCAUGCUGGAGGUAUCAGAAGUGCGAAUGCUGACAUAAGUAACGAUAAAGCGGGUGAAAAGCCCGCUCGCCGGAAGACCAAGGGUUCCUGUCCAACGUUAAUCGGGGCAGGGUGAGUCGACCCCUAAGGCGAGGCCGAAAGGCGUAGUCGAUGGGAAACAGGUUAAUAUUCCUGUACUUGGUGUUACUGCGAAGGGGGGACGGAGAAGGCUAUGUUGGCCGGGCGACGGUUGUCCCGGUUUAAGCGUGUAGGCUGGUUUUCCAGGCAAAUCCGGAAAAUCAAGGCUGAGGCGUGAUGACGAGGCACUACGGUGCUGAAGCAACAAAUGCCCUGCUUCCAGGAAAAGCCUCUAAGCAUCAGGUAACAUCAAAUCGUACCCCAAACCGACACAGGUGGUCAGGUAGAGAAUACCAAGGCGCUUGAGAGAACUCGGGUGAAGGAACUAGGCAAAAUGGUGCCGUAACUUCGGGAGAAGGCACGCUGAUAUGUAGGUGAAGUCCCUCGCGGAUGGAGCUGAAAUCAGUCGAAGAUACCAGCUGGCUGCAACUGUUUAUUAAAAACACAGCACUGUGCAAACACGAAAGUGGACGUAUACGGUGUGACGCCUGCCCGGUGCCGGAAGGUUAAUUGAUGGGGUCAGCGCAAGCGAAGCUCUUGAUCGAAGCCCCGGUAAACGGCGGCCGUAACUAUAACGGUCCUAAGGUAGCGAAAUUCCUUGUCGGGUAAGUUCCGACCUGCACGAAUGGCGUAAUGAUGGCCAGGCUGUCUCCACCCGAGACUCAGUGAAAUUGAACUCGCUGUGAAGAUGCAGUGUACCCGCGGCAAGACGGAAAGACCCCGUGAACCUUUACUAUAGCUUGACACUGAACAUUGAGCCUUGAUGUGUAGGAUAGGUGGGAGGCUUUGAAGUGUGGACGCCAGUCUGCAUGGAGCCGACCUUGAAAUACCACCCUUUAAUGUUUGAUGUUCUAACGUUGACCCGUAAUCCGGGUUGCGGACAGUGUCUGGUGGGUAGUUUGACUGGGGCGGUCUCCUCCUAAAGAGUAACGGAGGAGCACGAAGGUUGGCUAAUCCUGGUCGGACAUCAGGAGGUUAGUGCAAUGGCAUAAGCCAGCUUGACUGCGAGCGUGACGGCGCGAGCAGGUGCGAAAGCAGGUCAUAGUGAUCCGGUGGUUCUGAAUGGAAGGGCCAUCGCUCAACGGAUAAAAGGUACUCCGGGGAUAACAGGCUGAUACCGCCCAAGAGUUCAUAUCGACGGCGGUGUUUGGCACCUCGAUGUCGGCUCAUCACAUCCUGGGGCUGAAGUAGGUCCCAAGGGUAUGGCUGUUCGCCAUUUAAAGUGGUACGCGAGCUGGGUUUAGAACGUCGUGAGACAGUUCGGUCCCUAUCUGCCGUGGGCGCUGGAGAACUGAGGGGGGCUGCUCCUAGUACGAGAGGACCGGAGUGGACGCAUCACUGGUGUUCGGGUUGUCAUGCCAAUGGCACUGCCCGGUAGCUAAAUGCGGAAGAGAUAAGUGCUGAAAGCAUCUAAGCACGAAACUUGCCCCGAGAUGAGUUCUCCCUGACCCUUUAAGGGUCCUGAAGGAACGUUGAAGACGACGACGUUGAUAGGCCGGGUGUGUAAGCGCAGCGAUGCGUUGAGCUAACCGGUACUAAUGAACCGUGAGGCUUAACCUUACAACGCCGAAGCUGUU